ensembl:lncRNA
AAGGAAGAAAUGCUUUAGGAGGGUCCUGCAUUUAAAACUCCUUUUCUGUCAAUCACUUAUACUUCAAUUUUUUUUAAUUUUUAAAUAAAUAAAUCAGACACUUUUUUUCUGCUAAAAUUUCACAGUUUCAGCCACGUUGCACCCCAGCCCACAGACCGGGGGAUGUCAACUUCAGUUGUACAUCAGAAUCCCAUGGAGCUGUGAAAUGUAGGGUACUAGGCCCACCCCCUCCCCAGACUGGCUGAAUCAGACCCUCCCACACAGUGAUGCUCAAGGCAUGCUCCUGAAACAGGAACGUGUUAGAAAUGCAAACGCCCACAGAGACCUCCUGGAUUCUGGAGCUGCUCCCAGCAAUCUCUGUCAUAAUUGUUCUGAGAAGCCCUCCGGGUGACUCUGAUGCACGCUCAAAUGCGAGGCCCCCUCCUGUGGUUAGAAAUUUGCAUUCCUCACGGGUUCACAGGUGGUACAGACACUGAUGUUCUGGGAACCAUCACUGUCUAACUGUCUAAUGGGCAGACCCAGCUCUGAGGGGUGGGGAUUAAAAACUAUCCAGGUGAGUGACUCUGACCCAGGUGAGGGUUAACAAAUGCUUCCUUGGACUGUAAUCAUUGAACGUGGCAGGAGACCCACAUUACAUUACGGGUGAGUACAUUACAGGAAAAGAAAUGAAAUUUGUUCUGAGGGCUUCUUCUCAUCCAGUGAAACUGUAAUUUGGGGUUCUUGGUGUGGUAGGACUUACUUUCUAGGGGCCCACCCCAGUUUCUUCUGGCAAGAUAGGAAUUGGAGAGGUUUCUGGAAGAACACUUUGUACAAAAGCCUCAACUGGGGGAAAAGCCUGGUUUUAUCCUCAAAGGUUAAUCUUUGGUCCAUGAUGGAUAUGGAAGCAAGGGUGGGAAAACUGAAGAAUAAAGGGGAUGGAGAAAAAGAGAGAAAGAGAGUCGAUGUGGGGCUGGGCACGAGCCAGUCACGGACCGGCAGAGAGAGAGCUAGGGGGCGGGGAGGCGGGGGGAGGAGAUACAUCUUCUUUCCAAGUAGAACUGACUCUUUUUGAAAAAAAAAAUGAGCCCCAAGAAGGGUUUUGUGCAAGAUUAGAGGGAGGAAUGGAGAGGCUGACCUGCAAAGCAGGAAAGGAAAGGAUUGAAGCCUGUGAUGCUGGCAGGAUGGGCAAGAGUCACAGUCUUCAUACUGCCAGGAAGCUCCGUAGCCACUGACAAGUCCAGAAGUGGCGUGAUAAACAGUACAAGAAAGCCCUUGUGGGCACAGCACUGAAGGCCAACCCUUUCGGAGGCGCGUCUCAUGUCAAGGGAAUUGUGCUCGAAAAAGCAGGGGUUGAAACCAAACAGCCAGAUUCUGCCAUCAGGAAGUGUGCCAGGGUUCAGCUAAUCAAGAACGGUUAAAAAAAAAAAAACACAGCCUUUGUACUCAGUGAUGGUUGCUUAAAUUUUAUUGAAGAAAAUGAUGAAGUUCUGGUUGCUGGCUUUGGUCACAAAGAGCAUGCUAUUGGCGACAUUCCUGGAGUCCACUUUAAGGUUAUCAAAGUAGCCAAUGUAUCUGUUUUGACCUUAUACAAAAGUAAGAAGGAAAGACCAAGCUCAUACAUUCUGAUGAUGAAAGCACAAUAGUAAUAAAUUUUCAUAUGCACGUGGUGCAGUCUCCCCAAAAAAGUUCUUUCUUGAUAAAAAAUGAUAGCCAUCAUCUGAGCCUUCAAGGAGUCAUAAUCUUUUGCAGUACUAACACCGAAGAUCACCACUCACAGAUCACCAUCACAAACAUGAUAAUAAUGAAAAAUUCUGAAAUAUUGGAAGAAUUACCCAAAUGUGACAGAGACAUGAGGUCAGCAAAUUGCUGCUGAGAAAGUGGCACCAACAGACAUGUUCAACGUGGGGUUGGCACAAACGCCGAAUUUGUGGGAGAAAAAAAAAAAAGCAAUGCCCGCAAAGCACAAUGAAGCGACGUGCGACCAAACAAGGGGUCUGUACCAGACAGCCGUGUCUCCACUCCCGUUUUUAUACAUUUUCACAUGUAUUCACAAGCCCAUAGGACACAUAAAAUGCUGUUUUAUUGUGGGUUGUUUGCUUUUUCCUGUUGUUUUUUUUUUUACAUUUAACACAUAAGAACACUGCAUCUUUUCAGUUCUGAGUCUGAGCCACUUUUCCAUGUUAGGUCUGAUAAAUUUCUCAUCUUUAUUUUUUUACUCUUACCUGGAUUUUAUACUGUGGACAUAACAUGUUUAUAUAGUCAUUCUUCGAUUAAUAAAUAUUUAGGUUCUUUCCUGUUUGUUUUGCAGGCAGCACAGCUGAGCAUCACAGCCCAGGGUCUGUGGUCCUGUGCCCCAGGCUGGGGAUAAACACUGAGAAACUUCUAUAGCAGUUUGGUAGAGAGAUGCUAUGUCAAAUCUCACAAUAUGGGCUUGUAUUUUGUAAGCCUUUUGUGUUUUAAAAACUUUAUUCCUCUAGCAAUUCAUUUCUACUGUAAGAGUAAAAUUGUACUAGUUUGUGACAGGUUGGAAAUAAAGGCUGGAGCUUGCUCAGGAUCAUGGAGAAGUAGUGCUUUUGUGACCAGCCUCACACACCCACGAUGUCACGCUUCUGCAGAUUCAAAGAAGUGAUUCUCUUGGUUAUAGGAUGUGGACAUUUUUGUAUUAUAAUAGACUGUGUCAACUUACCCCUCAAAGGGGCUAAGACAGCCUCCCCCCACCUCCACACACCCACACCAAUCACUAGUAUUUUCUUUUCUUUUUGCCAUCCUGUGCAGGAUCUUAGGUUCCCCACCACAGAUGGAACCUGGGCCCUUGGCAGUAAGAGCAGAGUUCUAACCACUGGACCACCAGAGAAUUCCCACAGUUGAACUUUUAACUCACAUGUUCCCGAAAACCAGGAAGGUAGAACUUCUUUUUAUAUGUUCAUUGUCUCUUUCCAUUUCUUGGAGCCCAGAAAGUCAGCCAGGCCCUGGACUGUGACAACCCUUUUUUUACCUUGCCUGCUUUGAAGUCCAAGGUGGUUCCAGGAGGUGGGCCAGACCAGGAUGAUUCCCUCUUUGUGCAAGUAGGCAGGGCUGCACCCGGGGCCCACAACAAACCACAGACAGCUGAUGGCAAAGCCCAGGUCUCCCAGCCCAAAAUUCUCACUCCAGACCCAGAAGGAAAGCCCAGGCCCAGGAACUCAGCAGGAGAACAGGCUGGGAACGCAGGUGGGGCUGUGAGGAGUCAGAAUAAGAAGCCAGAACUAACUCUAACCCUAAGCUCUGUCUCCCUUCCCCACGCCCCACGCCCCCACCCCCCGCCAGGGAUCACUGCCAGUAGAAAGCCCUUGCCCUUGAAUCCUUGCAACAAGGUCAACUUCUGAGGGAACCCAAACUAAGGACCUUCCCAGCUCUCUCAGGAGUUGGUAAGAUCAGGUGAAGCUUGUAAACAAAGGUUAAGGUUAACAUCAUGACCUCUUGGCACGACCCCGUGUGCUGCACAAACGGAGCUCCUAGUCUGGGUGACUCUGGUGUCCUCCAGCUUUCAGACCCUAGCGGCCUCCCUGGGGGGACUCCAAGAUAGAAGGGACAGAAACUGUAAAAGGCAGUCAUUUUGGAGCUGAUUUGGACUCUGCCUGGUUUGAACAGCUCCCCAUACAAAAACCACAACUUCCAACUCCACGUGGCAGGGAUUCCUUCAAAGACAUAGCUCUGCCAAUACAUACCAGUCAACAAAGGAAAAGUUUUAUGUAUAGUCUAGCCCAUAAUGGAUAUCAAACAGAAGGUGUGACCUUGCUCUCAAAGGCCCACGGAACCCGAGCAGAAUAUCUAAUGAUUAGCCAAGUGAGAAGGAAGGGCAGCAAAAUCCUGGGAAACCAUAAGGAGCCAGAAAACAUGGGGGCUGGUUCACAGGACACAGGAGUCCUGACGGCACUCCUAGCAGCCAGGGCUGCAGAACUGGGAAUAAAAUAAAAAAUGAUUCUAUCAGAUUAUCACUCACAAAAUAGAAGAUCCCUAAGUCCACCUUGAUAGAAAUAGCUACCUGAUUAAAUAAGUCCAUGGAGCAGAAGAGACAGCUCUUUCUUGCUGUGUAAAUCUGAUCAACACAGAGAGAAAAGAAGGUAAGGAGGGAGGGAAAAACAGAGCAAUGUUGAAGACAAGAUCUGCUGGCUGAUGGAGGCUAGAACCAUGGAAAGUUUGAGGAGAAAAUGCACCAGAACAGCCUCCAGGAAUCUUUCCUGAGGUGUCUGUUCACGGGGCAGGGGUGAGAAGUGACUAUGACCUCACAGAAGGAAAGCCCCUUAGGACCACUUGACCAGAGAGCCCAGUGUGUGCACACAUGUGUGAGUUCAGUCAUGUCCAACUCUUUGCAACCCCGGGGACUGUAGCCUACCAGGCUCCUCUGUCCAUGGGAUUCUCCAGGCAAGAACAUCGGACUUGUUAGCCAUUCCCUUCUCCAGGGGAUCUUCCAGACCCAGGAGAUUGAGCCCUCGUUUCCUGCAUCUCCUGCACUGACAGGCGGGUUCUUUAACCAGCUGAGCCACUGGGGGAGCCCAGAGAGCCAGGCUCUCAUCAUUGCACAAGUCAACACGGUGACCCUGUGGCCUGGGAUCCCAGGUUCCACGUCUGCAGUGCCCUGGCCAGACGCAGGUCCUCCACCCAGUUGUGAGGACCCCAUCAACCCUGGGCUGAGGGGCCUUUGGCCAGGUGACCGGUCAACACUCCUCGCGGGUAUUCAGGUCUGGACAGACAAGGAACAGCUUGGGAACCUUUGCCAAGGGCAACACAGCAGGGACAUAGAACAAGCAGACGCACAUGUGGGGUCCUGGAUGUGUUCUUGGAGCCAAAGACUUUAGUGGAAAAGCUGGCGAGGUUCAUGCAGGGUCUCGUCUUGGACUCAGGGUGUUAGUGUCAGAGUUAAACUUUGACUUGACCACUGGCUACAUGUUUUUAAGUUUGGGGAGGCUAGGAGAGGAGGAUGGGAAGCUUUCUGUACUGUCCUUGCAACUUUACUACCAGUACUUCUUGAAAUGUAGUUCAAAAUGAAAAAGUUUUUUAAGAAGCAGCAAAUGUCCAGUUUGCCAUUAAAGUCCAUCUUAGGAAAGGAACAAUCGCCACACCUGUGUUGAUGUGAGCAAUGCUCAAAAUUAGGGCAACGGACCUCAAAAUAUUCUGCUGUGUGUGGGAGGGAGGUAAGAGUCAAGGUCCCCAGGUUCCGAGGAGGUAAAAAUUACAAGAUCCCAUCUGAACAGGAUGACAGAGGAUGAGAUGGUUGGAUGGCAUCACUGACUCAAUGGACAUGAGUUUGACCAAGCUCCAGGAGAUGGUGAAGGACAGGGAAGCCUGGUGUGCUGCAGUCCAUGGGGUCGCAAAGAGUCAGACACGACUGAACUACACCAAUAUG